AAGGUGUUUGAAAGUGCCGUGGAUCCUGCUGCAGUAACUGAAAUGCUCAAAAUAGGGGAUGAUCUUGUAAUUUAUGAAGAGAAUACACGAGACUUUCUGUUCCCAGAGCACAAGCUGAUUCCUGCAUAUCCUGGUGUGGAUGAAGAAUUACUGGUGAAGACUUCUCCUCAUUUCCCAGGCCAAAACAGAACAAGGAAUCAAAGAUUUGCAUCUGCAUCACCAAAAUGAAGGAACCAUUCACUAACACAAUGGAGGACGUCAGUGAAAAGGGUUGAAAGCUAUGGAAGGCAUACAAGGUCCUUAAA